rnacentral:rRNA from 1 species
UGCAGUCGACGAUGAACCACUUCGGUGGGGAUUAGUGGCGAACGGGUGAGUAACACGUGGGCAAUCUGCCCUUCACUCUGGGACAAGCCCUGGAAACGGGGUCUAAUACCGGAUAUGAGCCUGGGAGGCAUCUCCUGGGUUGUAAAGCUCCGGCGGUGAAGGAUGAGCCCGCGGCCUAUCAGCUUGUUGGUGAGGUAAUGGCUCACCAAGGCGACGACGGGUAGCCGGCCUGAGAGGGCGACCGGCCACACUGGGACUGAGACACGGCCCAGACUCCUACGGGAGGCAGCAGUGGGGAAUAUUGCACAAUGGGCGAAAGCCUGAUGCAGCGACGCCGCGUGAGGGAUGACGGCCUUCGGGUUGUAAACCUCUUUCAGCAGGGAAGAAGCGAAAGUGACGGUACCUGCAGAAGAAGCGCCGGCUAACUACGUGCCAGCAGCCGCGGUAAUACGUAGGGCGCAAGCGUUGUCCGGAAUUAUUGGGCGUAAAGAGCUCGUAGGCGGCUUGUCACGUCGAUUGUGAAAGCCCGAGGCUUAACCUCGGGUCUGCAGUCGAUACGGGCUAGCUAGAGUGUGGUAGGGGAGAUCGGAAUUCCUGGUGUAGCGGUGAAAUGCGCAGAUAUCAGAGGAACACCGGUGGCGAAGGCGGAUCUCUGGGCCAUUACUGACGCUGAGGAGCGAAAGCGUGGGGAGCGAACAGGAUUAGAUACCCUGGUAGUCCACGCCGUAAACGGUGGGAACUAGGUGUUGGCGACAUUCCACGUCGUCGUGCCGCAGCUAACGCAUUAAGUUCCCCGCCUGGGGAGUACGCCGCAAGGCUAAAACUCAAAGAAUUGACGGGGCCCGCACAAGCGGCGGAGCAUGUGGCUUAAAUCGACGCAACGCGAAGA